rnacentral:rRNA from 1 species
UACGUAGGGUGCGAGCGUUAAUCGGAAUUACUGGGCGUAAAGCGUGCGCAGGCGGCGCGUUAAGACAGGUGUGAAAGCCCCGAGCUUAACUUGGGAAUUGCGCUUGUGACUGGCGUGCUGGAGUGUGGCAGAGGGAGGUGGAAUUCCACGUGUAGCAGUGAAAUGCGUAGAGAUGUGGAGGAACACCAGUGGCGAAGGCGAACGUUCUCGGGCGUGUAACUACGCUGAGGCGCGAAAAGCGUGGGGAGCAAACAGG